rnacentral:rRNA from 1 species
AAAUGAAUAGACGGGGACCCGCACAAGCAGUGGAGUAUGUGGUUUAAUUCGACGCAACGCGAAGAACCUUACCAGGACUUGACAUCCACGGAACCUGUGAGAAAUCACGGGGUGCCUUCGGGAGCCGUGAGACAGGUGGUGCAUGGUUGUCGUCAGCUCGUGUCGUGAGAUGUUGGGUUAAGUCCCGCAACGAGCGCAACCCUUGCCUUCAGUUACUACGAGAAGAGGACUCUGGAGGGACUGCCGUUGGUUAAAACGGAGGAAGGUGGGGACGACGUCAAAUCAUCAUGCCCUUUAUGUUCUGGGCUACACACGUACUACAAUGGCCGUAAACAACGGGAAGCGAAGCUGCGAAGCGGAGCAAACCCCCAAAAGCGGUCCCAGUUCGGAUUGUAGGCUGCAACUCGCCUACAUGAAGUCGGAAUUGCUAGUAAUCGCGAAUCAGCAUGUCGCGGUGAAUACGUUCCCGGGUCUUGUACACACCGCCCGU